rnacentral:tRNA from 1 species
AUUGCGGCGUCCUUCAACCGGCACCGCCCUGGCAAGGCGGUAGCACGGGUUCGAAUCCCGUUGGGGCCA